rnacentral:misc_RNA from 1 species
UCAACUUGUUUGAACUUUUUCUUUUAUUUUUCUUAACGGCAUGCACCCUAAGGGCAGGCUUUCAAUGCGUUGGAUGCUGUGAGUAUUGAUAUUUUUUGUGACUUUUUAAUGAUGACUCUAUUCUCUUCCCCGUCUUAUACGACUAUGCUGAGAAACAGAGGUAAUUCUGUUCGCAACAGAAUAUUUGUGUCCUUUGGGGAUACACAAGUGUACUUGCCAGUGCCAUUUAGUCUGAAUCUGUCUUUUGAAAACUACUUUCUGAUACACUACAACUGACAAUACUUUUUUCUCAGAAACCAAACAACAAUUAUGAAAGCUUCUAUCCGGGGUGUGUUAAACUGGUAAGUUGCAUUUUCUUCCCAACUUUUCUGCAGCUUUGUGUCUAUCUAUUCCCUUAUAUGAUGAAAAUUUCCAUACAUUCGCAGUUUCCACUUGAGUGUCCAAUUAGUACUCCCCUAAUGCAGAAUGUUCUUUAUAUUCCCCCUCUAUACCAUGUUGAACCCAUAAAGCAUGUGUUGAGUGUGGGCCAUCUCCAAAAGAGAUGCGCUGGCAGGAAGCAGGGGUUGACACUAUGAGGGUUAUAAUGUCCUUCCUUUGGAUGUCUGAACUACCUUUUCUUUUCACUCUCUUCUUUUUUCUCUUAGAGUGCUGUAACUAAUUGGUCAUAAUCCCCUCCUUGCAGGUACUUAUGGUAUCAGUGAAGUUGUUUUAUAUAUUGUACUUCAGUAUAUCAUCAGUAAAGUGGUGCAGUAAGUGUGUUAAAUUAUAACAGUCCAGUCAGUAAAGUGUGUUAAGUUAAUAACAGUCAGUCAGUAUAAGUUAAUAACAGUCAGUCAGUAUAAGUUAAUAACAGUCAGUCAGUAUAAGUUAAUAACAGUCAGUCAGUAUAAGUUAAUAACAGUUCAGUCAGUAUAAGUUAAUAACAGUUCAGUCAGUAAGUGUGUUAAGUUAAUAACAGUUCAGUCAGUAAGUGUGUUAAGUUAUAACAGUUAGUCAGUAAACUGUGUUAAGUUACAACAGUUUGGUCAGUAAGUGUGUUAAAUUAUAGUUACUAAAGAUUGGGAAAAAAGAAGGGUACAUAGUUGGAUUAAGUUGUAAACUAAU